rnacentral:misc_RNA from 1 species
CAUGACUUGUUUAAUGGAUUCCAUGCAUACUGUAAGUGGCCAAAAAGAAAGUCGAGAAAACAAUGAAUAUGAUGACGAUGAUGAUGAAGAAGAUGAUGAUACUCAAUUCGGUAGUCCUCGAUUGCGAUGCAUUUUGUGUACUACUGCUGCCAGUUGAGAUAGUGUGUUCCUUUUUUUCCCCCUUUUUAGCCUGGGGAGUGGGGAAUGGGUGGGUAUUGUAGGAGUUUUUACUAUUUUACCAGGCUUUUCUUUUCUUUUUUCUUUCAUUUUUUUUCGUGUCAAUAUAUGAUAUAUGUGUGGU